AAUUCCGAUUUUCUGGGUCUAGUGAAUAAAUGGAUAGAGCCUGGCUCUAAUUCUGAUAAAAUAAAAAGCAACGAGCUUAACUUCUUAAUUGGAAGGAUUCCCCGAUCUAAUUAGACGUUAAAAAUAUAUUAGUGCCUGAUGCGGGGAAAGGUUAGGUUUUCCUAUGAGUGGACCCUUUACUUUUUUUUUAGAAAUCCUAAUUAUUCUUGAUUAUGGAUUGAAAAAGGAUGUUAUGAAUUGA
rnacentral:lncRNA from 1 species